rnacentral:rRNA from 1 species
UACAGAGGUCUCAAGCGUUGUUCGGAUUCAUUGGGCGUAAAGGGUGUGUAGGUGGCGCUGUAAGUCGGGUGUGAAAUUUCGGAGCUUAACUCCGAAACUGCAUUCGAUACUGCGGUGCUUGAGGACUGGAGAGGAGACUGGAAUUCAUGGUGUAGCAGUGAAAUGCGUAGAGAUCAUGAGGAAGACCAGUGGCGAAGGCGGCUCACUGGCCCGGUACUGACGCUGAGGUGCGAAAGCGUGGGGAGCAAACAGG